GGUAAUGGAGCUCACCUGUUCACAAGUAUUGUCAUAAAUAUCCCAGGCAUCCAAACACAUUUUGUGAAGCUCUUUAAUUGUGUUUCAUUUCAAAAUAAUUCUAUGGUUGACAUACACUUGGAGAGUAGACCACUGGAAUUCUGACUUCAGUACUGCGCCCUCUGUCUGUGAUCGAGAAUGACUUCAGCUCUUCAAACAGAUCAGAUCUGGUGACCUGCAUCUAGUUGGCAUUGACAGAAAGACAGCGGGGCAAACACAAGUUCAUGCCUGCACACAUUUGGACCUAGCAACAACUACCAGCAUGCUCGUGGGAUGAAUCACGCUGCAAGACUAGGAGGAAAGAAUCACGAGGACGUACAUUUAAACAGAACAUCAUCUCCAUCAUGCCAGCGUUCACUCUUCUCAAAGGAGAUUUCUCGCCGAGCCGAGGCCAGCCCCAACAAGGACGGCGAGCGCAUUUACAAGAACAAAAAGCCAGAAAUGGAGAGAUGGGAGCUGGAAAACGAUAGCUUCUCUAGCGCCUCUCUUGCCGUUUGGCUAACGGGGCUAAUGGGAUAAGCAGACUGUAGGAGUAUACGACACAAAAGGGCUUUGUGCUAAAAUGAGUGACACUUCCCCAGGCUAGUGCCAUGCUACACUGAGCUGCUAUUGUGGAAGUAAAAAGGGUUUGAGGUUGAAAAGGACGCGUUGGUUAGCAAGAGUCUGCCUUCAAAAACACUGCAGACUCCCUCUGUAUCGGAUCUGGUGAUGCAAGUCAUGAAGAGAGCAGCGCUAGAAGAAGUGAAGAGAAGAAAGAUGAGGAACAAGAGAACGGUCGUUGUUGCUGCUGUUGCCUCAUUUCUAUAAUGGGUUCUGUUAUUCGCUAAGCUAUCAUUGUGCUGUACAUUUCCAAAAAGGCCAAAAAAAAUACUUCAAAAAUGUUUUACCAAAACAGUACACAACGUUAUCAAGUCAUUUAUUCUGUCAUGCUAAAGUACAUAAUGCUUAUUUGCACAUCAAGAGGUUUGUUACGACUCGGGAUUGCAGAACACAUCGCUAACACAUUCUGCCGAGUUUCUGCUUUCAUCCUUCUGAAAGACGAAAAGCAGGCUUAGCGUUAGCAUUAAUAAAUAAAUGUGAAGGUGUCAAUUGA